AUACGGAGGGUGCGAGCGUUAAUCGGAAUUACUGGGCGUAAAGGGUGCGUAGGCGGCUUGAUAAGUCGGAUGUGAAAGCCCCGGGCCUAACCUGGGAAUUGCAUUCGAUACUGUCAGGCUAGAGUAUGUCAGAGGUUGGCGGAAUUCCUGGUGUAGCGGUAAAAUGCGUAGAUAUCAGGAGGAACACCAGUGGCGAAGGCGGCUAACUGGGACAAUACUGACGCUGAGGCACGAAAGCGUGGGGAGCAAACAGGAUUAGAAACCCUAGUAGUCC
rnacentral:rRNA from 1 species